AGCAGCCUUGACACCCAUGAGAAUGAAGGAGCAGCACCCGUGAGAAAGGAGGAGCGGCUCUCGCUGGGGUUGACUGCAUCAAGGGACAAUCAUCUUUCUUCCUCACUGGGACAGGUCAAAGCAUCUCCUGGCAGAUGAACAAAAGAUCAGAAUGCGACCAAGUGUGGAAAUGUAAUAUUGUCCAGUACCUACUACAUGGAAUUCCAACUAGGCCACAUGGAAGAGAGAGAGACACGCUGAGCAACAAAGAGGUGCAGACCAUCUAAACUGCCUUAGAAGAAGCAAAGAACAGCUGGGCUGCCUACAAGAAACUGAAACCCACUGAGGUGACUGAGUGAUGCACAGACCAAGUGACCUAUAUGGAAAAGACAUUUUCCAACCUGUUUAACUGCAUGCAUGCUAUACAUGUCUUAGCUCUAGGUUUCCUGCUUUCAUGAGCAGUCACCCAUGUUGGG